rnacentral:rRNA from 1 species
AGUGGACGCUGGCGGUAGGCCUAACACAUGCAAGUCGAACGGCAGCACAGUAAGAGCUUGCCCUUACGGGUGGCGAGUGGCGGACGGGUGAGGAAUACAUCGGAAUCUACUUUUUCGUGGGGGAUAACGUAGGGAAACUUACGCUAAUACCGCAUACGACCUACGGGUGAAAGCAGGGGAUCUUCGGACCUUGCGCGAUUGAAUGAGCCGAUGUCGGAUUAGCUAGUUGGCGGGGUAAAGGCCCACCAAGGCGACGAUCCGUAGCUGGUCUGAGAGGAUGAUCAGCCACACUGGAACUGAGACACGGUCCAGACUCCUACGGGAGGCAGCAGUGGGGAAUAUUGGACAAUGGGCGCAAGCCUGAUCCAGCCAUACCGCGUGGGUGAAGAAGGCCUUCGGGUUGUAAAGCCCUUUUGUUGGGAAAGAAAAGCAGCAGGUUAAUACCCCGCUGUUCUGACGGUACCAAAAGAAUAAGCACCGGCUAACUUCGUG